UAUAUCAUGUUUGGCAUAGGAAAAUCUCUUAGUUUGGAACAUCUUAGCCACCUAUCGUACAUGUGACCCAAGUUGAAACUUGGUUGUGUACAUGAUUCCCAUCCACUACUAAUGGAUGGUUGGAUAUCUAGGAACAGAGUCUCAUUUAGAAACAAGAAUGCAUGAAUCUUGCUGUAGAGUUAUUUUAAUUGCUCCAAUUUUAUCUUUGUUAAUUAUAGUUUCUACUGCAGGUUGUGAAAUGUGAGUUACCGGUUGUCCCUGCAAGGGAAUUACCAUCUGAGGAAUGUCCAACCUAGCUCUCUAGUUCCCAAUCAGCUAUAUUUUAAUCCUGCUACUGUGAAAAUGUUGAGCAGCCUGAAGUAUGAAAGUAAUGCGUAGUUCGUGAGGUGGUCAACCAUGUGCAGUAAGUUUUCGGAUCAAAGCGAAGCUGAGAAUAGAGUGAUAGUUGAUGGAAAAUUGAUAACUAGUAGAGGCACAUCCAUGGAGUUGUCGCUUGUGAUUGUUGAGAAGCUAUUUGGCUGCGAGAAGGCGUUGGAUCUUGCUGUCAAUGAGAACUUUAAAUAGACAUAUAACUAUUAUGUUGGUAUUGUACUUUUGUCAAGGGAUUAAAAUGAAUGAUUGUAUUUGAUUGAAUGAAUGAAUGAUUGUAUUUGA